UACGGAGGGUGCGAGCGUUGUCCGGAAUCAUUGGGCGUAAAGGGCGCGUAGGUGGCCCGGUCAGUCUUUGGUGAAAGCGCGGGGCUCAACCCUGCGUCGGCCAGGGAUACUGCCGCGGCUCGAGCACUGUAGAGGCAGGCGGAAUUCCGGGUGUAGCGGUGGAAUGCGUAGAGAUGUGGAGGAAUACCGAUGGCGAAGGCAGCCCCCUGGGAUAACACUGACGCUCAUGCACGAAAGCGUGGGGAGCAAACAGG
rnacentral:rRNA from 1 species